rnacentral:rRNA from 2 species
UUUCGAAUUAUUCACAAUGGGCGCAAGCCUGAUGGUGCGACGCCGCGUGAGGGAUGAAGGUCUUCGGAUUGUAAACCUCUGUCACCGGGGAAGAAUGGCUCUGACCUAAUACGUCAGGGUUUGACUUAACCCGGAGAGGAAGCAGUGGCUAACUCUGUGCCAGCAGCCGCGGUAAUACAGAGACUGCAAGCGUUAUUCGGAUUCACUGGGCGUAAAGGGUGCGCAGGCGGUUGCGUGUGUUGGGUGGGAAAGCGCGGAGCCCAACUCCAGAAUUGCGCCCGAAACUACGCGACUAGAGUACCGGAGAGGAUAGCGGAAUUCACGGUGUAGCAGUGAAAUGCGUAGAUAUCGUGAAGAACACCAGCGGCGAAGGCGGCUAUCUGGAAGGUAACUGACGCUCAGGCACGAAAGCGUGGGGAGCAAAAGGG